rnacentral:lncRNA from 1 species
GUACCUUGUGCAAUAGGAUUGCGUGGUGACAAGCCAUGAGGGUGCCGUGUCCCCUGGACCCAUUCCUCUCCCCUGUCCCCACACUGCCAUCUCUCCAGUUCCUCUAGCCUGCCCCGUCAUUGAGAUGCCAGGAAAUUGGCUCCCCACUCUCACCUUGGGUUCCCAGGCGUCAUCUAAAGGGUUGGACUCAAUAUGGGAGUAAAUCCUAUUCUAGAUCAACUCUGGGCCUAAAAAUCUCUGAAAGAGGGUCACUUUGUUUCCUUCCUCUCCACACUUCUGACACCACGUGGGGUGUUCUCCCAUGUAACUGAACUCUGACCCUAACUACCUGGAGUUAACACAAGCCCCACAAGUUGGACGGUCCCACCAGGCUGGCCUCCUUCUUUAGAUGCCAAGUGUAAGUAGCGGGUCCCUAAGUUAUACAUGCCUCUUUCCAAGUUGGCUGCAAACUGGAGGUUCCCACAACCCUUAGUUUUGAUAAUUUGUGACUCACAGAACUCAGGAAAACCCUACUUAAUAUUAUAGGUUUAUCAUAAAGGAUUUACCCAGGGACAACCGAAUAGGAGGA